rnacentral:rRNA from 1 species
AUUGAACGGCUGGCGGCAGGCCUAACACAUGCAAGUCGAGCGGAGUGAAGGGAGCUUGCUUCCUGAUUCAGCGGCGGACGGGUGAGUAAUGCCUAGGAAUCUGCCUGGUAGUGGGGGACAACGUCUCGAAAGGGACGCUAAUACCGCAUGCGUCCUACGGGAGAAAGCAGGGGACCUUCGGGCCUUGCGCUAUCAGAUGAGCCUAGGUCGGAUUAGCUAGUUGGUGAGGUAAUGGCUCACCAAGGCUGCGAUCCGUAACUGGUCUGAGAGGAUGAUCAGUCACACUGGAACUGAGACACGGUCCAGACUCCUACGGGAGGCAGCAGUGGGGAAUAUUGGACAAUGGGCGAAAGCCUGAUCCAGCCAUGCCGCGUGUGUGAAGAAGGUCUUCGGAUUGUAAAGCACUUUAAGUUGGGAGGAAGGGCAGUAAGUUAAUACCUUGCUGUUUUGACGUUACCGACAGAAUAAGCACCGGCUAACUUCGUG